rnacentral:rRNA from 1 species
CUAAGUUUGAUGGCGACCGGCGCACGGGUGAGUAACACGUAUCCAACCUGCCGAUGACUCGGGGAUAGCCUUUCGAAAGAAAGAUUAAUACCCGAUGGCAUAGUUCUUCCGCAUGGUAGAACUAUUAAAGAAUUUCGGUCAUCGAUGGGGAUGCGUUCCAUUAGGUUGUUGGCGGGGUAACGGCCCACCAAGCCUUCGAUGGAUAGGGGUUCUGAGAGGAAGGUCCCCCACAUUGGAACUGAGACACGGUCCAAACUCCUCGGGAGGCAGCAUG